CUGGCUGGGGUUAAACCACGACACAGCACCAACUGACUAACCCAUUCUCUAGAAGGCCCCUGUCUAGGUUUUUCUCUCACUCAUCUCUCUUCCUAACAUCAUUCCUCCCCCCUCAACUGCACAUGACAGAUAGUAUUUUUGGCUUCCACUAUUUGAUACUAUAUGCAACUGUAUUUCUUACAUGCUAAAAAAAUAUGCUUGUUCUGUUCCUAAACAAACAAGAUUAAGUAACAACACA